rnacentral:rRNA from 1 species
AACGAACGCUGGCGGCAUGCCUAACACAUGCAAGUCGAACGAGACCUUCGGGUCUAGUGGCGCACGGGUGCGUAACGCGUGGGAACCUGCCCUUAUGUUCGGAAUAACUCCCCGAAAGGGGUGCUAAUACCGGAUAAUGUCUUCGGACCAAAGAUUUAUCGCCUUUGGAUGGGCCCGCGUUGGAUUAGCUAGUUGGUAGGGUAAAAGCCUACCAAGGCGACGAUCCAUAGCUGGUCUGAGAGGAUGAUCAGCCACACUGGGACUGAGACACGGCCCAGACUCCUACGGGAGGCAGCAGUGGGGAAUAUUGGAGAAUGGGCGAAAGGCUGAUCCAGCAAUGCCGCGUGAGUGAUGAAGGCCUUAGGGUUGUAAAGCUCUUUUACCCGGGAUGAUAAUGACAGUACCGGGAGAAUAAGCUCCGGCUAACUCCGUG